CGGCAAUGUGCAUCAGACGUAAACAACAUGAAGCUGAGGAGAAAACGCUGAGAUGCAGAAGAUCCACAAUGUUUAUUUGUUGUGUGCAGCACAAUUAAUUGAAGCCAUAGAAGCACAUGUCAAAUAACAACAUUGCCGUGAACAUAUGAGGAGGAAGCUCUAAAGACCCACAAAUUCCAAAGUGUUUACAUCUGCAUGUAAUGUACUGGGAAUAGAUGCUCGUCAACCUCAAUGCAUGUUUAUAUUGCUUUCUGUCAUCUUGCCUGUGGUAGUGUGGUCAUGGAGGUGUAGCAAUGGUAGCACUGACCUCGUACAGCCCAUCUCGACGAAUUGAAGCCUCAUCCAGAAGUUCCUUAUAGAAAUGCACGAACAACAUUGAAUGAAAUUUGUCUGACGACUCAUUUUCCACCAGAGGACAUUGAAACACACAAAGUGGCAAUCUACAACUGUACAGUACUCAGUUUUAUAGGAAUGAUGGAUUUGAUGAUGCAGUGUAUAGAAAUCUCUAUGAAGGGGAUGACAAGGUUUACAGAAUUGACUAUUUGCAGGAUUACUUGGUUGCCUGACAGUUAUCCCAUCAUUGUGUGUUUGUAGAUAUUGGUAGCUACAAUUAUGAUAUGGUGAUAUCCGAUGGGAUGAUGUUGUCGUGGUAUCUUCCUCACUAAGCAAAAGACAUCUAAGCUUUUUUUCACAUCUGCAACAACAUGUCAAGCAACAUUCUGAAGUUUGUACACUCGCGAGUGAUGUACUGGAGCACUCAAAUCGUACCAGAGUAGCCCAUGGCGAAAGUAAAACUUGACUGAUUUAAAAUUUGACAAAUGAUCCAACCGCUAAAUUGAUAGCACAAUACAUCAACUUGAAAUCUUAUGUAUGGAAUUUAUGUCAAUUUCAUUAAAUUAUUGGUAUUUAUUUUGAUUCAAAAAUAACAAAUAUACCUAGUAACUUUAUCGCCACCCUACUAUUCCGUUGACGUAAAAUAAGGUGACACUGGGUUUACUGUUUUAUACGAUGAUUCAAAUGUCUUGUAUGCAAUAUGCUAAUUAAUGUAAUUAUCAAUAUAAAUCAACU